GACAGAGGGUGCGACCGUUGUUCGGAAUUACUGGGCGUAAAGGGCGCGUAGGCGGCACUGUUAGUCAGGCGUGAAAGUCCUGGGCUCAACCUGGGAACUGCGCUUGAUACGGCAGAGCUAGAGGAUGGAAGAGGGUCGCGGAAUUCCCAGUGUAGAGGUGAAAUUCGUAGAUAUUGGGAAGAACACCGGUGGCGAAGGCGGCGACCUGGUCCAUUACUGACGCUGAGGCGCGACAGCGUGGGGAGCAAACAGG
rnacentral:rRNA from 1 species